rnacentral:rRNA from 1 species
UGGCGGACGGGUGAGUAACACGUGGGUGAUCUGCCCUGCACUUUGGGAUAAGCUUGGGAAACUGGGUCUAAUACCGAAUAUGACCACUUCUUGGAUGUUGUGGUGGAAAGCUUUUGCGGUGUGGGAUGAGCCUGCGGCCUAUCAGCUUGUUGGUGGGGUAAUGGCCUACCAAGGCGGCGACGGGUAUCCGGCCUGAGAGGGUGUACGGACACAUUGGGACUGAGAUACGGCCCAGACUCCUACGGGAGGCAGCAGUGGGGAAUAUUGCACAAUGGGCGCAAGCCUGAUGCAGCGACGCCGCGUGGGGGAUGAAGGCCUUCGGGUUGUAAACUCCUUUCGCUAUCGACGAAGCCACUUGUGGUGACGGUAGGUAGAUAAGAAGCACCGGCUAACUACGUGCCAGCAGCCGCGGUAAU